AACCCACGGUGAGGGCACCGUCUCAAUAAGUCCUUAUACAUCUCCCAUGCAUCAUAUAAAGUCUUUAAAUUGAUAUACACAAAGGAGGAGAUAUCAUUCCUUAACUU
rfam:Gossypium hirsutum cultivar TM-1 chromosome 16, whole genome shotgun sequence